AUCUCGGGCGCUCGCUCCGAAGGAUCGGCAGCGAGAGGGCGGAACCGGAUCCGUGAGAGUCGCGGCCCACGCUCCGAGCGUCACCCUGUCACCGCCCAGCUGCGCAUGAGCGCUGCAACUCCUGCUGACUGCGCAGGCGUGCCGCGGCCUGUCCUCACCCCCGUCCCGGGCUCUCUUCCACUUCCGGUCGGCGGCGGCUCAGCAGGUGUUACCUGUUACUCGCCUCGGACCCGCCGGGUCUCUGGAAGGCUGAGUGGCCCCCCGGCCUUGAUAUUGGGAGGAGUCACCUUCAUGUUUCGUGGCAGAUGAAAGCUUAAGGCCUCCUUAGGAGUUGGGUAUUGACCUGUGCUCUUUGAGGCGGUUUUUAACCUUUGAUCUUUCUUCUGGCCGUUCCCCCGGACCGGCCUAUUCCAACCCAGUUUCUGUUUGGAAAGAGGCUGUCGCCUCUGGUGGAGAGGAAGAGAAAAGCAGCCAGCGUCGAGGAAUCUCUCAGGGCUCUCGGUUGUAGCAGAGCCUAGCUAAUUACCCUUCAUAAUUAGAAUUGUCCUAUCUACUACGGAGUGUUAUAGACCCUCUUUCCACAGGAGGGGAAGAAAGAAAGAAGCCGGAAUCCCCCUGCCAUCCUAUGUCUUUGCAUUAUUGCCUCACUACCACAUAUGAUCUUCAGAAGAAAACCUGGACUACAAAACACCCUGGGAAGGAAACUGCUCAUCUCUUUCAAGAUUAAGGGAAGAUAUAAAAACAGACAUCCUCGGCCGGGCGCGGUGGCUCCCGCCUGUAAUUCCAGCACUUUGGGAGGCCAAGGCAGGUGGAUCACCUGAGGCCAGGAGUUCGAGGCCAGCCUGACCAACAUGGAGAAACCCCGUCUCUACUAAAAAUACAAAGUUAGCUGGGCGUGGUGGUGCAUGCCUGUAAUCCCAGCUACUCAAGAGGCUGAAGCAGGAGAAUCGCCUGAACCCAGGAGGCGGAGGUUGCCGUGAACCGAGAUCGCGCCAUUGCACUCCAGCCUGGGCAACAAGAGUGAAACUCUCUCAAAAAAACAAAACAACUCCCAGACAUCCUCUUAGUAGAUCCCAUGGUAUGGCACAGCAAGGUAUGUUAAUGAACCCAUGGCACAUCGUGAUCUUAAUGAUUAUACAAUGCUGCCAUCUUGAGGAUAUGAUCAGUAAUUGUUAUUCUAGCCAGCCUUCUGUGGCCUAGCAUCAGGCACAGCCAGAAAGCUGAAUCUGGACAGUCAGAUGUUAAAUACCCAGCAAGGAGCUACAGUCAAGGAGGCCAAAAUAACAUUUGAGGAGCCAGGCAAGUGUUAGGAGAUUGAGCAAACCUGUGGUGCUUUCAGAACAAGGUAAAUGAAAAGGACCAAAUUAGGGCACAUCAAUUCAUGUAUGCAGGAUAAGAAAAACGGGGCCUUUUAUUUACUCCCAAAGCACCCUGUUCUUCCUUCUAGUAUAGUGCCAUCUCACUGUAUUAUAAUUGCUAUAAACUGGUUUCUCCCAGUGGACCGAUGAGCCAUGACAGCAGAGAAUAAGUCCUGUUAUAGUUAUAUCUGCAUUGUGUCCUCAGCAUUAGCACACUGGGUAAUAAGUAUUUAGUAAAUAUUUUGUGGCUUAAUGAGUGACAGGCAUAGGCAGCAGGGGACAAAGUCAAAAUAAUGGCAGAGCCAGUUUUCCAGAUUUCCAGAUCAGUGCUACUAUCUACUAUACAACAUAUAUUUAUGAAUGGGCAAAAGCAUACUGGCUACCAAGAGACACUGAAAUAUACCUAGCCUUUUAGGUGGCCACCAGCAAUGAUAGCCAUGAGGCAUGUCUCUAAGGCUGUAAGCACUGGGCUUAUUUAUUGAAUACCACUUUGGACCAGUCACUGCACUAAGUGCCAGGACUGCAAUGAAGAACAAAAAAGAUAGCCCCAGCCCUUAUGAGGUUUACAGCCUAGAUCUAGACUAUACUACUGAUCAGACAGGGCCUUUCAUGGUCAUCAUGACUUGGUGAGGACAUGUGAUUCCACAAUCUGGUCUUAGCUUUGUAAUGUCAGAAACUCUAAUUUUUUUUUUUUUUUUUUUUUUUUUUUUUUUUUUUGUGAGACAGAGUUUCCCUCUUGUUGCCCAGGCUAGAGUGCAAUGGUGCGAUCUCUGCUCACUGCAACCUCCGCCUCCCAGGUACAAGCAAUUCACCUGUCUCAGCCUGCCAAGUAGCUUGGAUUACAGGCAUGUGCCACCACGCCUGGCUUUUUUAUAUUUAGUAGAGACAAUGUUUCACCAUGUUAGUUAGGCUCAUCACGAACUCCUGACCUCAGGUGAUCCACCCGCCUUGGCCGCCCAAAGUGCUGGGAUUACAGGCCUGCACCACCGUGCCUGGCCCAGAAACUCUAUUUUAUCUAUGGCUUUGGAAGAAGUUUAGACUCAUUGAACCUUCAAAAACCCUAUGUGGGACAGGCGAGGUGGUUCACACCUGUAAUCCCAGCACUUUGGGAGGCUGAGGUGGGUGGAUCACCUGAGGUCAGGGGUUCAAGACCAGCCUGGCCAACAUGAUGAAACCCUGUCUCUACUAAAAAUACAAAAAUUAGCUGGUCAUGGUAGCAGGCACCUGUAAUCCCAGCUACUCGGGAGGCUGAGGCAGGAGAAUUCACUUGAGCCUGGGAGGCAGAAGUUGCAGUGAGCCAAGAUUGUGCCACUGAACUCCAGCCUGGGUGACAGAGCGAGACUGUCUCAACCCCCCCAUCCUCCCCCCCAAAAAAACCAACCAAACAACAACAACAACAACAACAAAAAACCUUAUGUUGGGGGUAUCGUUAUCACCCCAGAUUUUUAUACCCAGCUCACACAAAUGAGGAAACUAAGUAUUAAGACAGGCUAGUUAACUUGUCCAAAGUUACAAAAGAUAGUAAGUGGAGGAGCCAGGACAUGAAAUUUCAAGUUCACUGUCCUUCCAGUGUGUGACAAGGACCAGUUUAUUCACUUGUUAAUGGUUAUAGCUUUCUCUGUCAAUCCAACAGAACCGUUAUCUCACUGAGAACUACAUGUCAUUCUACUCCCCACUUUCAAUUUUAUAUGUAUAUAUGUGUGUACAUAUAUCUCUUCUAAUUAUAUAUAUAAUCAUGUCACUUAUUCAUUAAAUACUUCAG
rnacentral:lncRNA from 1 species